AGCCAACAUCACUCUGUAGUCUAAACGUGAUGUUGUUGAUUGUCGUCCUGCUCAGCUCCAGCCCCAGAGCCAACAACACUCUGUAGUCUAAACGUGAUGUUGUUGAUUGUCGUCCUGCUCAGCUCCAGCCCCAGAGCCAACAUCACUCUGUAGUCUAAACGUGAUGUUGUUGUUUGUCGUCCUGCUCAGCUCCAGAGCCAACAACACUCUGUAGUCUAAACGUGAUGUUGUUGUUUGUCGUCCUGCUCAGCUCCAGCCCCAGAGCCAACAUCACUCUGUAGUCUAAACGUGAUGUUGUUGUUUGUCGUCCUGCUCAGCCCCAGCUCCAGAGCCAACAUCACUCUGUAGUCUAAACGUGAUGUUGUUGAUUGUCGUCCUGCUCAGCUCCAGCCCCAGAGCCAACAUCACUCUGUAGUCUAAACGUGAUGUUGUUGAUUGUCGUCCCUGCUCAGCUCCAGCCCCAGAGCCAACAUCACUCUGUAGUCUAAACGUGAUGUUGUUGUUUGUCGUCCUGCUCAGCUCCAGAGCCAACAACACUCUGUAGUCUAAACGUGAUGUUGUUGAUUGUCGUCCUGCUCAGCUCCAGCCCCAGAGCCAACAUCACUCUGUAGUCUAAACGUGAUGUUGUUGAUUGUCGUCCCUGCUCAGCUCCAGCCCCAGAGCCAACAUCACUCUGUAGUCUAAACGUGAUGUUGUUGAUUGUCGUCCUGCUCAGCUCCAGCCCCAGAGCCAACAUCACUCUGUAGUCUAAACGUGAUGUUGUUGUUUGUCGUCCUGCUCAGCUCCAGCCCCAGAGCCAACAUCACUCUGUAGUCUAAACGUGAUGUUGUUGAUUGUCGUCCUGCUCAGCUCCAGCUCCAGAGCCAACAUCACUCUGUAGUCUAAAUGUGAUGUUGUUGUUUGUUGUCCUGCUCAGCUCCAGCCCCAGAGCCAACAUCACUCUGUAGUCUAAAUGUGUUGUUGUUUGUCGUCCUGCUCAGCUCCAGAGCCAACAACACUCUGUAGUCUAAACGUGAUGUUGUUGAUUGUCGUCCUGCUCAGCUCCAGCCCCAGAGCCAACAUCACUCUGUAGUCUAAACGUGAUGUUGUUGUUUGUCGUCCUGCUCAGCCCCAGAGCCAACAACACUCUGUAGUCUAAACGUGAUGUUGUUUGUCGUCCUGCUCAGCUCCAGCCCCAGAGCCAACAUCACUCUGUAGUCUAAACGUGAUGUUGUUGUUUGUCGUCCUGCUCAGCUCCAGAGCCAACAACACUCUGUAGUCUAAAUGUGUUGUUGAUUGUCGUCCUGCUCAGCUCCAGCCCCAGAGCCAACAUCACUCUGUCUGGGAAGAAGAAACGCAAGCUGCUCAAACAGCUGCAACACAUGCAAGCAGAGAAGGCCGCUAUGGAAGUUGAGGCAGCAACAAACAAGAUGAAGGCGGUGGCAGCACCAAAGAAGGCAGCAGCACCAAAGGCAGCAGCACCAAAGGCAGCAGCACCAGCGGCAGUCAGACACCAGAAAGGGGGUGUGUCCCAGGGGGAUGUGGACAUGGCAGAUAUGGAAUGAGAAGAAGAUGAGAGACUGUUCUGUUGGCCCCAUGCCAAGGCCAGACCGGGCCCCAUAUUCAGACCGGGCCCCAUAUUCAGACCGGGCCCCAUAUUCAGACCGGGCCCCAUAUUCAGACCGGGCCCCAUAUUCAGACCGGGCCCCAUAUUCAGACCGGGCCCCAUAUUCAGACCGGGCUCCAUAUUCAGACCGGGCCCCAUAUUCAGACCGGGCCCCAUAUUCAGACCGGGCUCCAUAUUCAGACCGGGCUCCAUAUUCAGACCGGGCUCCAUAUUCAGACCGGGCCUCAUGAAUAUGAUUACAUGGACGGGGGCUGAUCCUGGAUCAGUUUUAGCCUUUUAGACCUAAUGAAUAUGAUUACAUGGACGGGGAGGCCUGAUCCUGGAUCAGUUUUAGCCUUUUAGACCUAAUGAAUAUGAUUACAUGGACAGGGGGGCCUGAUCCUGGAUCAGUUUUAGCCUUUUAGACCUAAUGAAUAUGAUUACAUGGACGGGGAGCUGAUCCUGGAUCAGUUUUAGCCUUUUAGACCUAAUGAAUAUGAUUACAUGGACAGGGAGGCCUGAUCCUGGAUCAGUUUUGGCCUUUUAGACCUAAUGAAUAUGAUUACAUGGACGGGGAGCUGAUCCUGGAUCAGUUUUAGCCUUUUAGACCUAAUGAAUAUGAUUACAUGGACAGGGAGGCCUGAUCCUGGAUCAGUUUUGGCCUUUUAGACCUAAUGAAUAUGAUUACAUGGACGGGGGCUGAUCCUGGAUCAGUUUUAGCCUUUUAGACCUAAUGAAUAUGAUUACAUGGACGGGGAGGCCUGAUCCUGGAUCAGUCUUAGCCUUUUAGACCUAAUGAAUAUGAUUACAUGGACGGGGAGGCCUGAUCCUGGAUCAGUUUUGGCCUUUUAGACCUAAUGAAUAUGAUUACAUGGACGGGGAGGCCUGAUCCUGGAUCAGUUUUAGCCUUUUAGACCUAAUGAAUAUGAUUACAUGGACGGGGGCUGAUCCUGGAUCAGUUUUAGCCUUUUAGACCUAAUGAAUAUGAUUACAUGGACAGGGGCUGAUCCUGGAUCAGUUUUAGCCUUUUAGACCUAAUGAAUAUGAUUACAUGGACGGGGGCUGAUCCUGGAUCAGUUUUAGCCUUUUAGACCUAAUGAAUAUGAUUACAUGGACGGGGAGGCCUGAUCCUGGAUCAGUUUUAGCCUUUUAGACCUAAUGAAUAUGAUUACAUGGACGGGGAGGCCUGAUCCUGGAUCAGUUUUAGCCUUUUAGACCUAAUGAAUAUGAUUACAUGGACGGGGGCUGAUCCUGGAUCAGUUUUAGCCUUUUAGACCUAAUGAAUAUGAUUACAUGGACGGGAGGCCUGAUCCUGGAUCAGUUUUAGCCUUUUAGACCUAAUGAAUAUGAUUACAUGGACGGGGAGGCCUGAUCCUGGAUCAGUUUUAGCCUUUUAGACCUAAUGAAUAUGAUUACAUGGACGGGGAGCUGAUCCUGGAUCAGUUUUAGCCUUUUAGACCUAAUGAAUAUGAUUACAUGGACGGGGAGGCCUGAUCCUGGAUCAGUUUUAGCCUUUUAGACCUAAUGAAUAUGAUUACAUGGACGGGGAGGCCUGAUCCUGGAUCAGUUUUAGCCUUUUAGACCUAAUGAAUAUGAUUACAUGGACGGGGAGGCCUGAUCCUGGAUCAGUUUUAGCCUUUUAGACCUAAUGAAUAUGAUUACAUGGACGGGGAGGCCUGAUCCUGGAUCAGUUUUAGCCUUUUAGACCUAAUGAAUAUGAUUACAUGGACGGGGAGGCCUGAUCCUGGAUCAGUUUUAGCCUUUUAGACCUAAUGAAUAUGAUUACAUGGACGGGGAGGCCUGAUCCUGGAUCAGUUUUAGCCUUUUAGACCUAAUGAAUAUGAUUACAUGGACGGGGAGCUGAUCCUGGAUCAGUUUUAGCCUUUUAGACCUAAUGAAUAUGAUUACAUGGACGGGGGCUGAUCCUGGAUCAGUUUUAGCCUUUUAGACCUAAUGAAUAUGAUUACAUGGACGGGAGGCCUGAUCCUGGAUCAGUUUUAGCCUUUUAGACCUAAUGAAUAUGAUUACAUGGACGGGAGGCCUGAUCCUGGAUCAGUUUUAGCCUUUUAGACCUAAUGAAUAUGAUUACAUGGACGGGGAGGCCUGAUCCUGGAUCAGUUUUAGCCUUUUAGACCUAAUGAAUAUGAUUACAUGGACGGGGGCUGAUCCUGGAUCAGUUUUAGCCUUUUAGACCUAAUGAAUAUGAUUACAUGGACGGGAGGCCUGAUCCUGGAUCAGUUUUAGCCUUUUAGACCUAAUGAAUAUGAUUACAUGGACGGGGAGGCCUGAUCCUGGAUCAGUCUUAGCCUUUUAGACCUAAUGAAUAUGAUUACAUGGACGGGAGGCCUGAUCCUGGAUCAGUUUUAGCCUUUUAGACCUAAUGAAUAUGAUUACAUGGACGGGGAGGCCUGAUCCUGGAUCAGUCUUAGCCUUUUAGACCUAAUGAAUAUGAUUACAUGGACGGGGGCUGAUCCUGGAUCAGUUUUAGCCUUUUAGACCUAAUGAAUAUGAUUACAUGGACGGGGAGGCCUGAUCCUGGAUCAGUUUUAGCCUUUUAGACCUAAUGAAUAUGAUUACAUGGACGGGGAGGCCUGAUCCUGGAUCAGUCUUAGCCUUUUAGACCUAAUGAAUAUGAUUACAUGGACGGGGAGGCCUGAUCCUGGAUCAGUCUUAGCCUUUUAGACCUAAUGAAUAUGAUUACAUGGACGGGGGCUGAUCCUGGAUCAGUUUUAGCCUUUUAGACCUAAUGAAUAUGAUUACAUGGACGGGGAGGCCUGAUCCUGGAUCAGUCUUAGCCUUUUAGACCUAAUGAAUAUGAUUACAUGGACGGGGAGGCCUGAUCCUGGAUCAGUCUUAGCCUUUUAGACCUAAUGAAUAUGAUUACAUGGACGGGGGGGCCUGAUCCUGAGCCAGAGAGCCUUGUGUUUGUGUAUCUGAAUGCCGUCAUUGUAAAUAAGAAUUUGUUCUUAACUGACUUGCCUAGUUUAAAUCAAAUAAAAAAACAGACAGAA